UACGUAGGUGACAAGCGUUGUCCGGAUUUACUGGGCGUAAAGAGCGCGCAGGCGGUCGUUCAAGUCGAGUGUGAAAGCCCCCGGCUCAACUGGGGAGGGUCAUUCGAUACUGAUCGACUCGAAGGCAGGAGAGGGAAGUGGAAUUCCCGGUGUAGUGGUGAAAUGCGUAGAUAUCAGGAGGAACACCGGUGGCGAAGGCGGGUCUCUGGGCCGACACUGACGCUGAGGAGCGAAAGCGUGGGGAGCGAACAGG
rnacentral:rRNA from 1 species